rnacentral:misc_RNA from 1 species
AUACUCUUCUUUAAUAACUUCACCUGCAACAAGAUAAGAUAUCAGUAAACUGGCCAUGGGAGGUAUUCAUCUACAUAUUACAUAGUAUCUCUGAAGUUGAGCUAACAAGUUCAGAUAAACCAUAGAAGAUAUAAACAGCAUUAGCACAUGUAGUCAGACAGAUUCUCACAUAGUUGGAUGACAUAGGAAUUAUCAGACAUUAUAUGCGCAAAGACUUACACUCGUCACAACUAGUAAACAUCACUAUUAACUAGCCACACUAAAAAUAAACAGUGAGAGACAUUUCAUUGCAGCACUUGCAUUGAUACAAUGAGCACUUGUUACCAUUGUCAAUAUGAAGAAAAAAAGUACUUCAUUAUUUUCCUAGAAGUACAAACUUAGUACAUCACCGUGCAAAGUAGCCAUGUCUUAUCACUAUCACACCAAAUCAAACCAAGACAAAGUGCAUCUCAGAAAUAUAACACUCUGAUUUACCAAAUGGGCCAUGACUUAAGACUCCAGGUAAAAAUAGUACAGGACAUUAUAAAUGAUGUAAAAAUUAAGUGUAGUUUAUUGCUUUACAUCAGGUUAUCUAGUAUUAGAGAGGUGUAGAUUGAGCACGCACUUCAUCAGAAUUAUUAGUCAUGCAAUUCUGUAACUAUAAAGCUUCCAAAAAUGGAGAAUUACAGUACAAAACAGAGAUCAUAGCAUAACACAACCAGUACAUCAGGACUGGCAAUUCUGAGCUGAAACACAAAGAAAAUGCACAAAG